rnacentral:tRNA from 1 species
GGGGAUUUAGUUUAGUUGGUAAAACGUCUGCCUUGCACGCAGAAGUCCCGGAUUCGAAUUCCGGUUUCUCCA